rnacentral:tRNA from 1 species
GGGUGAGUGGCGGAAUGGUAGACGCGCAUGCCUUAGGAGCAUGUGGUUGCGGCCGUGCGGGUUCGAAUCCCGCCUCCCGCACCA